rnacentral:tRNA from 1 species
GCAGCGGUAGUUCAGUUGGUUAGAAUACCGGCCUGUCACGCCGGGGGUCGCGGGU